UUCCUACCUACAGAUUGGGCCUAAACAACUGAAUUAUGAUAAUUUUGUUCUUGCUGGGAUGCAAUUUAAAUAUACUCUUUUUGUAAGAGUAUCUGAUGGAGGCACUCCAGAAUUAUCAAGAAUAAUAAAAUUGUUGGAUUCAUUAGACAGAGAAAUUCAAGCCCAAUACAAAUUAGUAGUAAGAGCAACAGAUACAGACAAUGACAUUGAACCCGAUCCACUCAGACAGAGAAGUAGUUCUGUUGUUGUGACCAUCAAUAUCUGGUAAAUAUAAGACUUUUAAAAAUUAAUUAAUUUACUUUUAGUUUUCAAC
rnacentral:lncRNA from 1 species